AACGAACGCUGGCGGCAUGCCUAACACAUGCAAGUCGAACGAGAUCUUCGGGUCUAGUGGCGCACGGGUGCGUAACGCGUGGGAAUCUGCCCUUUGGUUCGGAAUAACAGUUGGAAACGACUGCUAAUACCGGAUGAUGACGAAAGUCCAAAGAUUUAUCGCCAGAGGAUGAGCCCGCGUAGGAUUAGCUAGUUGGUGUGGUAAAGGCGCGCCAAGGCGACGAUCCUUAGCUGGUCUGAGAGGAUGAUCAGCCACACUGGGACUGAGACACGGCCCAGACUCCUACGGGAGGCAGCAGUGGGGAAUAUUGGACAAUGGGCGAAAGCCUGAUCCAGCAAUGCCGCGUGAGUGAUGAAGGCCUUAGGGUUGUAAAGCUCCUUUACCCGGGAUGAUAAUGACAGUACCGGGAGAAUAAGCUCCGGCUAACUCCGUGCCAGCAGCCGCCGUAA
rnacentral:rRNA from 1 species